GUCUAUGGCCAUGCCGCUCUGAAUGAGCCCGAUUUCUGCUCUCAGAAGCUAAGUAGGGUCGGGCCUGGUUAGUACUUGGAUGGGAGACCACCUAGGAAGACCAGGUGCUGUAGACA
rnacentral:rRNA from 1 species